ensembl:snRNA U6 U6 spliceosomal RNA
GUGCCCACUUCGACAGCACAUACACUAAAAUUGGAACUAUAUAGAGAUUAGCAUGGCCCCUGUGCAAGGAUGACACACAAAUUCACGGAGCAUUCCAUAUUUUU